rnacentral:rRNA from 1 species
GACGAACGCUGGCGGCGUGCUUAACACAUGCAAGUCGAACGGAAAGGCCCUGCUUUUGUGGGGUGCUCGAGUGGCGAACGGGUGAGUAACACGUGAGUAACCUGCCCUUGACUUUGGGAUAACUUCAGGAAACUGGGGCUAAUACCGGAUAGGAGCUCCUGCUGCAUGGUGGGGGUUGGAAAGUUUCGGCGGUUGGGGAUGGACUCGCGGCUUAUCAGCUUGUUGGUGGGGUAGUGGCUUACCAAGGCUUUGACGGGUAGCCGGCCUGAGAGGGUGACCGGACACAUUGGGACUGAGAUACGGCAGAGACUCCUACGGGAGGCAGCAGUGGGGAAUAUUGCACAAUGGGCGGAAGCCUGAUGCAGCAACGCCGCGUGCGGGAUGACGGCCUUCGGGUUGUAAACCGCUUUCGCCUGUGACGAAGCGUGAGUGACGGUAAUGGGUAAAGAAGCACCGGAUAACUACG